ACGACCUUACUUGAAUGGGAUCUGUUCUAUAGGCUCGUGCCUCUGUAUCCUUGAGUUCUUAGGAGAUAGGAAUCAAAGUCUGGUGGAUGAAUUUAGACCGUGCAAUCAGAGCGUGAUUAUUGGCUUUGGGACCUCAAGAUUUGGAUUUCUAUGGUCGUAGAGGAUCAUUGUCAGUCAUCUGAUGGCUGGGCGAUCGCACUGUUGUCCAACAGAUU
rnacentral:snoRNA from 1 species